rnacentral:rRNA from 1 species
GAGUUUGAUCCUGGCUCAGGACGAACGCUGGCGGCAGGCUUAACACAUGCAAGUCGAACGCCCUCUUCGGAGGGAGUGGCAGACGGGUGAGUAACGCGUGGGAAAUUACCUAUCAGUACGGAACAACAGUUAGAAAUGACUGCUAAUACCGUAUACGCCCUUCGGGGGAAAGAUUCAUCGCUGAUAGAUGUGCCCGCGUUAGAUUAGCUAGUUGGUGAGGUAAUGGCUCACCAAGGCGACGAUCUAUAGCUGGUCUGAGAGGAUGAUCAGCCACACUGGAACUGAGACACGGUCCAGACUCCUACGGGAGGCAGCAGUGGGGAAUAUUGGACAAUGGGCGAAAGCCUGAUCCAGCCAUGCCGCGUGUGUGAUGAAGGCCUUAGGGUUGUAAAGCACUUUCAACGG